rnacentral:siRNA from 1 species
CGAAAUUCCAACUUCCGGUGACU